AGAAUCCCAAGAAAGCGAGCAGUGCAAGACGACCUGCAAGCAAGCAAGCAAAAAUGGUAUGAUGUUCACUGCCAACUUUGAGAAAAUGCUCACCGUUUUUCACUUCCUUCAGCUUGAACUCCUCGAACUUCUUCGGGUCCUUGGAAAAUCCAAGAGGGUCGAACGCGCCGCCGGGAUACUUGCGUUUCUCAGCGCUCGGCACGCCGAUCCUCCGCGACUCGACAAAGGCUAUGGCAACGAACUCGAUCGCAAUGAUCACUGGAAGGGUCCCCCACGGGACUGGAGUUCCAAGGUACGUGGCUUGUCCGCCAGGAGUCGCGGCCCACUGUUGUGCCUCAACCCAGUUUCCUAGUCCUAGAGCUUCCGGAAUGAGGCAUCCAGGCUGAAAGCAGCGCACAAAGCUUGAGGAUCCACACACAAUCUACGAGAAAAACGUUUCCCAGGUACUUACGACUGCCAGCAUUGCCCAUCUGCAGUGGAUGAGCUCUGACUCCUUGAAUCGUUCCAGGUUGUCGGGAACUUCUCCAAGUCCCAGUGGAUCGAAUCCAAAGUCACUGGAAGGACAAAGCGCUCUCACUUGUAAGCUAUGAGAAACUAGAUCUCUUGGAAGUUUAAACUCACCCAGGGGCUGAUCCGUCUAGGUAGGCUGGACGAGGCUGUCCUGGGAGCCACUCUGCGGACAUGCUGACCCUGCUUCCAUUGGAGAAUGCAGCACCGGGAGUGGUGAUGGCGCUUCCGAAAAACUUGGACUUUUGAGUUCCAGCUAGAGUUGGAGCCACAGCCGCUGCUACAAGCUGCGAA
rnacentral:lncRNA from 1 species